GCUUAAAAUUAGAACAGCUACGUGGGUGGGGUAGGCUGGGGUAGGAUGAGACAGGGAUAUCUAGGGUAUUGUUUGACUCUUGUUUCGAAGGAGGAGGAGGAGGAGGAAGUGGGGGGGGAAGAGAAUAAGAAGAAAAGGAGGAGGUGGAGAAAAAAUGAAAAAUAAGAAGAGGAAAGGGAAUAUUUUAAGAUACAGGAAGAGAAUAAGAAGAAAAGGAGAAGGAGGUGGAGAAAAAAUGAAAAAUAAGAAAAGGAACGGAAAUGUUUUAAGAUACAAGAUAAAGAUUUGAAAUUAGUUAGGAAAGGGUGGUAGAAAUAAGAGGAAAUGGAGGAGGAGGAAGAGGAAGAAAAUUGAGAGAUGUGUUUGUAGCUGUAGGAAUAAGAGAAAGAGGAGGAGGAGGAAGAAGAAUAACAAGAAAAAAAAAGAAGAGUACAAGGAGGAAAAAGAAAAAGAAGAAGUAAAGAGAAGCAAAAUGAAAAAGAGAAAAAGGAGGAGGAAGAAAAAAGAAAAAAAGAA